rnacentral:tRNA from 1 species
AUUGAGUUAGUGUAAACUAACACCCUAGGAUGUGGGCCUAGUAAUAAGAACUUAUCUUACUCAAUA